AGCGGGUUGUAGCAAUACAAUGCCGGCGAGUGGCGCACGGGUGCGUAACACGUAUGCAACCUACCCUAUACUGGGGCAUAACCUUUAGAAAUGAGGGCUAAUACUCCAUAUAAUUAUGAUAAGGCAUCUUUUUAUAAUUAAAGAUUUAUCGGUAUAGGAUGGGCAUGCGUCCCAUUAGUUAGUUGGUAAGGUAACGGCUUACCAAGACGAUGAUGGGUAGGGGUCCUGAGAGGGUUCACCCCCACACUGGUACUGAGACACGGACCAGACUCCUACGGGAGGCAGCAGUAAGGAAUAUUGGGCAAUGGCCGUAAGGCUGACCCAGCCAUGCCGCGUGCAGGAAGACGGCCUUAUGGGUUGUAAACUGCUUUUUUGUGGGAAUAACCGUAGCUAUGCGUAGCUACCUGCAAGUACCAUAAGAAUAAGCAUCGGCUAACUCCGUGCCAGCAGCCGCGGUAAUACGGAGGAUGCGAGCGUUAUCCGGAAUCAUUGGGUUUAAAGGGUGCGUAGGCUGGUAUUUAAGUCAGUGGUGAAAUUUUCGUGCUUAACAUGAGAGCUGCCAUUGAUACUGGGUACCUAGAGUGUAUUUGAUGUGGGCGGAAUGUGUUGUGUAGCGGUGAAAUGCUUAGAUAUGACACAGAACACCGAUAGCGAAGGCAGCUCACAAAGUUACAACUGACGCUGAUGCACGAAAGCGUGGGGAUCAAACAGGAUUAGAUACCCUGGUAGUCCACGCUGUAAACGAUGAUCACUAGCUGUUGGCGAUAUACAGUCAGUGGCUAAGCUAAAGCGAUAAGUGAUCCACCUGGGGAGUACGUCCGCAAGGAUGAAACUCAAAGGAAUUGACGGGGGGCCCGCACAAGCGGAGGA
rnacentral:rRNA from 1 species